CGUAAAGCUCUGUCGUAUGGGAAUAAUUUGAAUGUACCAUAUAAGAAGGAUCGGCUAACUUCGUGCCAGCAGCCGCGGUAAGACGAGGGAUCCUAGCGUUGUUCGGAAUCAUUGGGCGUAAAGCGGGUGUAGGUUGCUUUUUAAGUCAGGUGUGAAAGCCUAGGGCUCAACCCUAGAAGUGCAUCUGAUACUAUUAAGCUUGAGUGUGGAAGAGGCUAUUAGAAUUCCUGGUGUAGUGGUGAAAUACGUAGAUCAGGAGGAAUACCAGCUGCGAAGGCGGAUAGCUGGUCCAACACUGACACUAAGACCCGAAAGCGUGGGGAUCAAACAGGAUUAGAUACCCUGGUAGUCCACGCCGUAAACGAUGGAUACUUGUUGUUGGAGGUAUUGACCCCUUCAGUGACGAAGCUAACGCGUUAAGUAUCCCGCCUGGGAAGUACGGUCGCAAGAUUAAAACUCAAAGAAAUUGACGGAGGC
rnacentral:rRNA from 1 species